GACGAACGCUGGCGGCGUGCCUAAUACAUGCAAGUAGAACGCUGAAGAGAGGAGCUUGCUCUUCUUGGAUGAGUUGCGAACGGGUGAGUAACGCGUAGGUAACCUGCCUUGUAGCGGGGGAUAACUAUUGGAAACGAUAGCUAAUACCGCAUAACAAUGGAUGACACAUGUCAUUUAUUUGAAAGGGGCAAUUGCUCCACUACAAGAUGGACCUGCGUUGUAUUAGCUAGUAGGUGAGGUAAUGGCUCACCUAGGCGACGAUACAUAGCCGACCUGAGAGGGUGAUCGGCCAAACUGGGACUGAGACACGGCCCAGACUCCUACGGGAGGCAGCAGUAGGGAAUCUUCGGCAAUGGGGGCAACCCUGACCGAGCAACGCCGCGUGAGUGAAGAAGGUUUUCGAAUCGUAAAGCUCUGUUGUAAGUCAAGAACGGGUGUGAGAGUGGAAAGUUCACACUGUGACGGUAGCUUAACAGAAAGGGACGGCUAACUACGUG
rnacentral:rRNA from 1 species